rnacentral:rRNA from 1 species
UACGUAGGGGGCAAGCGUUGUCCGGAAUCAUUGGGCGUAAAGAGCGUGUAGGCGGCCAGAUAAGUCCGCUGUGAAAACUCGAGGCUCAACUUCGAGCUGUCGGUGGAAACUAUUUGGCUAGAGUCCGGAAGAGGAGAGUGGAAUUCCUGGUGUAGCGGUGAAAUGCGCAGAUAUCAGGAAGAACACCCGUGGCGAAGGCGGCUCACUGGUCCGGUACUGACGCUGAGGUGCGAAAGCGUGGGGAGCAAACAGG